AACGAACGCUGGCGGCAGGCUUAACACAUGCAAGUCGAGCGAGACCUUCGGGUCUAGCGGCGGACGGGUGAGUAACGCGUGGGAACGUGCCCUUCUCUACGGAAUAGCCCCGGGAAACUGGGAGUAAUACCGUAUACGCCCUUUGGGGGAAAGAUUUAUCGGAGAAGGAUCGGCCCGCGUUGGAUUAGGUAGUUGGUGGGGUAAUGGCCCACCAAGCCGACGAUCCAUAGCUGGUUUGAGAGGAUGAUCAGCCACACUGGGACUGAGACACGGCCCAGACUCCGACGGGAGGCAGCAGUGGGGAAUCUUAGACAAUGGGGGCAACCCUGAUCUAGCCAUGCCGCGUGAGUGAUGAAGGCCUUAGGGUUGUAAAGCUCUUUCAGCUGGGAAGAUAAUGACGGUACCAGCAGAAGAAGCCCCGGCUAACUCCGU
rnacentral:rRNA from 1 species